UACGAAGGGGGCUAGCGUUGUUCGGAAUCACUGGGCGUAAAGGGCGCGUAGGCGGACUCUUAAGUCGGGGGUGAAAGCCCAGGGCUCAACCCUGGAAUUGCCUUCGAUACUGAGAGUCUUGAGUUCGGAAGAGGUUGGUGGAACUGCGAGUGUAGAGGUGAAAUUCGUAGAUAUUCGCAAGAACACCAGUGGCGAAGGCGGCCAACUGGUCCGAUACUGACGCUGAGGCGCGAAAGCGUGGGGAGCAAACAGGG
rnacentral:rRNA from 1 species